rnacentral:snoRNA from 1 species
GAGACCAUAAUUUCAGGGAUCAUUUCUAUAGUUUAUUACUGGAGAAGUUUCUUUGAACGUAUAGAGUACUAAAAACCAUGUUAUCUCCUGACUGUAAAGCUGCCUCUUGGUAUUGCUUUACUUCAAUUGCCAUUUGUCACUAAUGAUUGUUUUUUCUUUUCUUUUGGGAGAGUAAUGGGGAGAGGACACAGUCUGGGU